GAUGAACGCUGGCGGCGUGCUUAACACAUGCAAGUCGAACGAAGCACUUUAUUUGAUUUCCUUCGGGACUGAUUAUUUUGUGACUGAGUGGCGGACGGGUGAGUAACGCGUGGGUAACCUGCCUUGUACAGGGGGAUAACAGUUGGAAACGGCUGCUAAUACCGCGUAAGCGCACGGCAUCGCAUGAUGCAGUGUGAAAAACUCCGGUGGUAUAAGAUGGACCCGCGUUGGAUUAGCUAGUUGGUGAGGUAACGGCCCACCAAGGCGACGAUCCAUAGCCGACCUGAGAGGGUGACCGGCCACAUUGGGACUGAGACACGGCCCAAACUCCUACGGGAGGCAGCAGUGGGGAAUAUUGCACAAUGGGCGAAAGCCUGAUGCAGCGACGCCGCGUGAGCGAAGAAGUAUUUCGGUAUGUAAAGCUCUAUCAGCAGGGAAGAUAAUGACGGUACCUGACGAAGAAGCACCGGCUAAAUACGUG
rnacentral:rRNA from 1 species